GACGUGGUGGUGAAAUUGGAAUAACACACCGCACUUUCACUGCGGGAUUUGCGAGUUCGAGCCUCGUCCACGUCA
rnacentral:tRNA from 1 species